GAUGAACGCUAGCGGCAGGCUUAACACAUGCAAGUCGAGGGGCAGCGCGGGAUAGCAAUAUCCUGGCGGCGACCGGCGGAAGGGUGCGUAACGCGUGAGCGACAUGCCCGUUGCCCGGGGACAACCGGUGGAAACGCCGACUAAUCCCCGAUGGGAUAUUGUGCCGCAUGGCACGAUAUUGAAAGUUACGGCGGCGACGGAUUGGCUCGCGUCCGAUUAGCUGGUUGGCGGGGUAACGGCCCACCAAGGCUGCGAUCGGUAGGGGUUCUGAGAGGAAGGCCCCCCACAAUGGGACUGAGACACGGCCCAUACUCCUACGGGAGGCAGCAGUGAGGAAUAUUGGUCAAUGGGCGGAAGCCUGAACCAGCCAUGCCGCGUGCGGGAAGGAGGCCCUAUGGGCUGUGAACCGCUUUUGCCUGGGGGCAAUAAGGGCGUCGCGCACGUCCGAUGGGAGUACCAGGCGAAUAAGCAUCGGCUAACUCCGUG
rnacentral:rRNA from 1 species